rnacentral:misc_RNA from 1 species
GAUGAAGAACGCAGCGAAAUGCGAUAAGUAAUGUGAAUUGCAGAAUUCAGUGAAUCAUCGAAUCUUUGAACGCACAUUGCGCCCAUUAGCAUUCUAGUGGGCAUGCCUGUUCGAGCGUCAUUUCAACCCUUAAGCCCUGUUGCUUAGCGUUGGGAGCCUACAGUACUGUAGCUCCCCAAAGUUAGUGGCGGAGUCGGUUUCACACUCUAGACGUAGUAAUUUUUUCUCGUCUGUAGUUGAGCCGGUCCCCUGCCGUAAAACACCCGAUUUAUCAAGGUUGACCUCGGAUCAGGUAGGAAUACCCGCUGAACUUAAGCAUAUCAAUAAGCGGAGGA